rnacentral:rRNA from 1 species
GACGAACGCUGGCGGCGUGCUUAACACAUGCAAGUCGAACGGAAGGGCCCUGCUUUUGUGGGGUGCUCGAGUGGCGAACGGGUGAGUAACACGUGAGUAACCUGCCCUUGACUUUGGGAUAACUUCAGGAAACUGGGGCUAAUACCGGAUAGGAGCUCCUGCUGCAUGGUGGGGGUUGGAAAGUUUCGGCGGCUGGGGAUGGACUCGCGGCUUAUCAGCUUGUUGGUGGGGUAGUGGCUUACCAAGGCUUUGACGGGUAGCCGGCCUGAGAGGGUGACCGGCCACAUUGGGACUGAGAUACGGCCCAGACUCCUACGGGAGGCAGCAGUGGGGAAUAUUGCACAAUGGGCGGAAGCCUGAUGCAGCAACGCCGCGUGCGGGAUGACGGCCUUCGGGUUGUAAACCGCUUUCGCCUGUGACGAAGCGUGAGUGACGGUAAUGGGUAAAGAAGCACCGGCUAACUACGUG